AUUGAACGCUGGCGGCAGGCCUAACACAUGCAAGUCGAACGGUAACAGGAAGAAGCUUGCUUCUUUGCUGACGAGUGGCGGACGGGUGAGUAAUGUCUGGGAAACUGCCUGAUGGAGGGGGAUAACUACUGGAAACGGUAGCUAAUACCGCAUAACGUCGCAAGACCAAAAAGGGGGACCUUCGGGCCUCUUGCCAUCGGAUGUGCCCAGAUGGGAUUAGCUAGUAGGUGGGGUAAUGGCUCACCUAGGCGACGAUCCCUAGCUGGUCUGAGAGGAUGACCAGCCACACUGGAACUGAGACACGGUCCAGACUCCUACGGGAGGCAGCAGUGGGGAAUAUUGCACAAUGGGCGCAAGCCUGAUGCAGCCAUGCCGCGUGUAUGAAGAAGGCCUUCGGGUUGUAAAGUACUUUCAGCGGGGAGGAAGGGAGUAAAGUUAAUACCUUUGCUCAUUGACGUUACCCGCAGAAGAAGCACCGGCUAACUCCGUG
rnacentral:rRNA from 1 species